AUCACAGAAUAAAUUUUAUUUCCAUCAUUGGGCCUAGAGAUUUUAGGGAAUAUUAUCUUAUUUGUGAGACAUGUGUAUGCUUUCAUCAUGGGUUCUGAGAAUAGUAAUAAAAAUCUUACUGUCAUCCACUUGGCUUUUGUAAACACAAUCACUAUUUAUUGUAAAGGGGUCAGAAAUAUGGCCACAAUUUUUUAUUUCAGAAAUUCCCUAGGCAAUGUUGGUUGUAAAACUAUAGUUUAUCUAGAAAGGGUUGCCCAUGGCCUCCCUCUCCAUCUGCACCACCUGUUUCCUCAGCGUGGUCCAGGCUGUCACCAUCAGUCCCAGGACCACCCUUUCAAGAAAGCUCCAACCACACACUCCAUGGCAUUUUCAUGACUUGCUUCUCCUUUGCAUCUUUAAUUGCCUGAUAAGCUCCACCUUGCUGCACUAUAUCACAGCAGGCAGUAAAGCACAUAGGUCAGUAGUUGGGAUGUUUACUGGGUAUUGCUAUAUGCUGCCAUCCAGGCACAGAGCUAAAUGACUGAUGCUUUCUCUCAUGGCUCUUUGUUAUGUUAUUUCCCAGGGUCUCAUGGGCUGGAGCAGUAGGUUUAUGGAUCUCCAUCUGUACAAACAUCAUGUCCGUGUUCUCUACCUUCACAGCUCCAGGUCUGCAAACAAUUCCAGGUCAGAUAUCAGAGUGACCUAGAGGGUUCUCACUCUUAUGACCGGUUCCUUUUGCUUUUAUUGGGCAGAUUUGAUUUUAUUCUUCUACACAGGUUCCACAGUGAUGCACGAUUCUACAAUACUAAAUAUAAAAGCAUUUUUUAGUACUUAGUUAUGCUUGCCUCAGGCCUUUGUCCUGAUCAUCAGCAAUGUCUGUGUUGCUAAGGCCUGCUGUGUUCCCUGA
rnacentral:lncRNA from 1 species